UACGCCAUUAUUGUUGUUGUUGAAAUCUUGACCGCCAGAAAUGACGAUCCCCAACCAGUUCUGCUGGGUAACUUGGUAAAGUGAUGUAUAACCUGCAAGAAGUCAGAUCCACUUAAACCAGCACAGAAACCUGAACUGCAGCAAAUAAAGGCUGGUGUUAAGUCCUUUUGAACUGAUUAGAGUUGACCUGAUAGGAUCUUUCACAACUAGUCAAGAGUCUUUACAUCUUCACUGCAACAGACUAUUACACAAAGUGGGUUGAGGCAUUUCUUAUUCCAUCAAAGCAGGCCUCAGAUGUUGUUAAGUGCUUCCAAAAGCUUUUUCUAGAUGUGGUGCUGUGAACUCACUGACCAGGGAAAAGAAUUUGUAAACAAUAUAGAUGGUGUUCAUUUCAACAACCUGGGAUUUGAAAUUUUUCCGCAAUGUGAGAGGAAUAAUUUUGAAGUGCAUAACAGAUAUGUAAUUCACACAUGUACUGGAAGAUACUGUAUUAUAAUUGGUGGCACAUCUGUAUCUAUAUUAUCAUAUAACAACAGCGAAGGCUGCUGCAGCUGAGGAAGCUGCAAAAACCAAACGAAGAACAAACUAAAUUGAGCAGGUUUCAGAAGCUAACACAUCGUAUUUAUCAGAAAAAGACUUGAACACAAUUAUAUCACAUGUUGUUCCUGCUGUCACACAAGGUAUGUUGUAGGUUUUAAAAGACUUGAAGAUACUACCGCCUGACAUUAUUCAGAACCAAAACUUCGGAAAACAACAGAUACCUUUGGAAUCCACACUAAACACUUCAACAUCUGCUCCAACACCAACUUUGGCAGUUUCAGUUAUGAAUCUAAAUUCUGCCACAUUUUCGCGUCCACAUUUUCUUGGUAUUGAUGAAAAAAUCAAAGCUAAGAUUGUAUCAGAUCAGUUUGUGGAGUUAGAUUCCAUAUAAAAUAAACUUUAAGGUGAUUAUAAAUAUCGUUUAGUCGAAAAUGGCAGUGGGGAACCCUCGUUCAAAAAAGUUUUAAAUCCCCGACCAGUAUAAAAACGGAUCAAGGGUUUAAUACAUUUCAUAUUUCUACAAGUGUUUACACAGACAGACACCCAACAUCUGCUGCUACUUUAAUGAAACAUUGCGACACAGUUCAUAAACUUGCAAAGCAAUCGGGGGAUUCAGCUGCCAUUUUUACGAUAGACAAUUUCGUCUCUUAAAAGAAGCAAGAUUUGCUUUGAUUUCAUAUGGGGAAGUCGAUACCCAUUUAUAAACGCAGGCACUGGCCAUGGGGUUAAUUAACCCAAAACAAAAAUAGUCCUUUCUUGGCGCAAGAUCCCACCAAAACAAACCGUGCUUUGAUUUCAACAACGGGUCUUGUGUAAGAAAAUAGUGCACCUUUCAGCACAGAUGUCAAAAGUGUCCCGGUCCUGGACGAAUUGUAUGUUUUAAAAAGGUGCAAUCAAAUUUCAGAGAGUUCUGAGAACCUAUGAUACUGACUCCAAGGUACGACUUGAAGUUAACUGAAUAUUUGAUGAACGGUUUCACAAAGGGCUUUAAAAUACCUUUUACAGGUACUCAUUCUAAUAAAUUUCCUGGGAAUUUCAAAUCUGCGACUGAAAAUUUAGAGGGCAUAAAUCACUGUUGAAAUUGAUGCGGAUCGUGUUCCGGUUCCUUUCAAUGAACCACCUGACCUCAACUCUGGGUUUAGUACCAAAACAGGAACCCAGUGAAUUUCGUGGAAUACAUCAUUUAUCUUUUCCAGAAGGUCAAUCUGUUAAGGCUGGAAUCCCAUCAGAAAUCCGUUCUGUUCAAUAUCAAAAUAUUGAUGAUGCAGUAGAAUUUGUGAAAACUAUUGGACCUGGUGCGCUUCUGUCAAAAUUUAUGUCCAAAGUGCAUUUAAAAUCAUUCCAAUGCAGUUGUAGGCUUGGUAAAUAAACAUCUCAUGACCUAAGUAUUAUAUGCAUGGUCAGAAGAUUAGUUCUACAAUGUUUGAAAUAUAACUUUUUGUUUUAAGACACGCAUUUUAAAAGCAUUGCAAGGUUAUCAUAAUUUAGUUCCUGAAACAGACACACGGUUGCCAGUUGCAUAACUUAAUACGGUCAAUGGACGUAGUUUGCAAUUCGCAAUUCCUACGUAUACUGCUAACAGCUAUUUAUUUAUUGACCUUUCAUGUUUCCUUCGAGUUGGAGAAUUUAUUUCUUCCUCUCCUGAACUCGUAUAUUAUAGUAGUAGAACAUGUAUGUAUAACAUUCAAUCGAACUAAAUAGCUUUGACUUGGUUUUGAAAAGCUAUAAAUAAUAGUCGAGGCAAGACCCAUAAACUGUAUAUAUCAUGUUGUCACCAUGAAUUAAGUAUGCGCCCAUUGCAUGCAUUGUACUCGUAUUAUACAUUAAGUAAC